AGAGUUUGAUCAUGGCCCAGAUUGAACGCUGGCGGCAUGCUUAAUACAUGCAAGUCGAACGGUAACAGAUUCUUCGGAAUGCUGACGAGUGGCGGACGGGUGAGUAAUACAUAGGAAUCUGCCCAUGUAGUGGGGGACGACUUGGGGAAACUCAAGCUAAUACCGCAUAAUUCCUACGGGAUAAAGAGGGCCACUGCUUGCAAGCUCUUGCUACUGGAUGAGCCUAUGUCGGAUUAGUUAGUUGGUAAGGUAAUGGCUUACCAAGACAGCGAUCCGUAGCUGGUUUGAGAGGAUGAUCAGCCACACUGGGACUGAGACACGGCCCAGACUCCUACGGGAGGCAGCAGUAGGGAGUAUUGGACAAUGGGCGCAAGCCUGAUCCAGCAAUGCCGCGUGUGUGAAGAAGGCCUGCGGGUUGUAAAGCACUUUCAAUUGGGAAGAAAGAUUAUGAGUUAAUACCUUAUAAUAUUGACGUACCAA
rnacentral:rRNA from 1 species